UACAGAGGUCUCAAGCGUUGUUCGGAUUCAUUGGGCGUAAAGGGUGCGUAGGCGGUGGGGCAAGUCAGGUGUGAAAUCCCGGAGCUCAACUCCGGAACUGCACUUGAUACUGCUUGACUAGAGUACUGGAGAGGAGACUGGAAUUUACGGUGUAGCAGUGAAAUGCGUAGAUAUCGUAAGGAAGACCAGUGGCGUAAGCGAGUCUCUGGACAGUUACUGACGCUGAGGCACGAAGGCCAGGGGAGCAAACGGG
rnacentral:rRNA from 1 species